rnacentral:rRNA from 1 species
UACGUAGGGUGCGAGCGUUGUCCGGAAUCACUGGGCGUAAAGGGCGCGUAGGCGGUUUGUACAGUCAGACGUGAAAUUCCUGGGCUCAACCUGGGGGCUGCGUUUGAUACGUGCGGACUUGAGUUCGGAAGAGGGUCGUGGAAUUCCCAGUGUAGAGGUGAAAUUCGUAGAUAUUGGGAAGAACACCGGUGGCGAAGGCGGCGACCUGGUCCGAUACUGACGCUGAGGCGCGAAAGCGUGGGGAGCAAACAGG